rnacentral:rRNA from 1 species
GCAUAUCAUAAGCGCAGGAAAAGAAACCAACAGGGAUUGCCUCAGUAACGGCGAGUGAAGCGGCAACAGCUCAAAUUUGAAAUCUGGCCUCUUGGGGUCCGAGUUGUAAUUUGUAGAGGAUGUUUCGGGUACCGCCUCGGUUUAAAUUUCUUGGAACAGAAUGUCAAAGAGGGUGAGAAUCCCGUCUUGGACCGGCGGUAGGGCCUAUGUGAAACUCCUUCGACGAGUCGAGUUGUUUGGGAAUGCAGCUCAAAAUGGGUGGUAAAUUUCAUCUAAAGCUAAAUAUUGGCCAGAGACCGAUAGCGCACAAGUAGAGUGAUCGAAAGAUGAAAAGCACUUUGAAAAGAGAGUUAAACAGUAUGUGAAAUUGUUGAAAGGGAAGCGCUUGCAACCAGACUUGAGCGCGGCGGUUCCCCCUUGCUUCUGCUUGGGUUACUCCGCCGUGUCCAGGCCAACAUCGGUUCUGGGGGUCGGUCAAAGGCUCUGGGAAUGUAUCUACCCACGGGUAGACUUAUAGACCAGGGUGUCAUGCGACCUCCCGGGACCGAGGAACGCGCUUCGGCUCGGAUGUUGGCGUAAUGGUUGUCAGCGACCCGUCUUGAAACACGGACCAAGGAGUCUAACAUCUAUGCGAGUGUUUGGGUGUCAAACCCGGAACGCGGAAUGAAAGUGAACGGAGGUAGGAAGCUUCGGCUGCACUAUCGACCGAUCCUGAAGUUUACGGAUGGAUUUGAGUAAGAGCAUAGCUGUUGGGACCCGAAAGAUGGUGAACUAUGCCUGAAUAGGGUGAAGCCAGAGGAAACUCUGGUGGAGGCUCGCAGCGGUUCUGACGUGCAAAUCGAUCGUCAAAUUUGGGUAUAGGGGCGAAAGACUAAUCGAACCAUCUGGUAGCUGGGUUCUGCGA